rnacentral:rRNA from 1 species
UACGUAGGGAGCAAGCGUUGUCCGGAAUCAUUGGGCGUAAAGCGCGCGUAGGCGGCCCUGUAAGUCCGCUCUGAAAGUCGAAGGCUCAACCUUCGAAAGCGGGUGGAUACUGCAGGGCUAGAGUCCGGAAGAGGCGAGUGGAAUUCCUGGUGUAGCGGUGGAAUGCGCAGAUAUCAGGAGGAACACCAACGGCGAAGGCAGCUCGCUGGGACGGUACUGACACUGAGGCGCGAAAGCGUGGGGAGCGAACAGG